CCUACGGGAGGCAGCAGUCGAGAAUCAUUCACAAUGGGGGAAACCCUGAUGGUGCGACGCCGCGUGGGGGAAUGAAGGUCUUCGGAUUGUAAACCCCUGUCAUGUGGGAGCAAAGUAAAAAGAUAGUACCACAUGAGGAAUAGACGGCUAACUCUGUGCCAGCAGCCGCGGUAAUACAGAGGUCUCAAGCGUUGUUCGGAAUCACUGGGCGUAAAGCGUGCGUAGGCUGUUGUGUAAGUCUUGUGUGAAAGGCGCGGGCUCAACCCGCGGACGGCACAUGAUACUGCGAGACUAGAGUAAUGGAGGGGGAACCGGAAUGCUCGGUGUAGCAGUGAAAUGCGUAGAUAUCGAGAGGAACACUCGUGGCGAAGGCGGGUUCCUGGACAUUAACUGACGCUGAGGCACGAAGGCCAGGGGAGCGAAAGGGAUUAGAUACCCUAGUAGUC
rnacentral:rRNA from 1 species